rnacentral:rRNA from 1 species
CCUACGGGUGGCAGCAGUGAGGAAUAUUGGUCAAUGGACGAGAGUCUGAACCAGCCAAGUAGCGUGAAGGAUGACUGCCCUAUGGGUUGUACACUUCUUUUAUAAAGGAAUAAAACGAGGCACGUGUGCCUUGUUGCAUGUACUUUAUGAAUAAGGAUCGGCUAACUCCGUGCCAGCAGCCGCGGUAAUACGGCGGAUCCGAUCGUUAUCCGGAUUUAUUGGGUUUAAAGGGGGCGUAGAUGGGUUGUUAAGUCAGCUGGGAAAGUUUGCGGCUCAAACGUAAAAUUGCAAUUGAUACUGGCAGUCUGGAGGACAGAUGAGGGAGGCGGAAUUCGUGGUGUAGCGAUGAAAUGCUUAGAUAUCACGCAGAACCCCGAUUGCGAAGGCAGCUUACUAAACUGUGACUGACAUUGAUGCACGAAAGUGUGGGUAUCAAACAGGAUUAGAUACCCGUGUAGUC